rnacentral:rRNA from 1 species
UACGAAGGGAGCUAGCGUUUUUCGGAAUUACUGGGCGUAAAGCGCAUGUAGGCGGCCGAUUAAGUUGGAAGUGAAAUCCCAGGGCUUAACCCUGGAACUGCUUCCAAAACUGGUAGGCUAGAGAGUGAUAGAGGAUGGCGGAAUUCCUAGUGUAGAGGUGAAAUUCUUAGAUAUUAGGAGGAACAUCAAUGGCGAAGGCAGCCAUCUGGGUCAUUUCUGACGCUGAGAUGCGAAAGCGUGGGGAGCAAACAGG